rnacentral:rRNA from 1 species
AAUAUUGCGCAAUGGACGGAAGUCUGACGCAGCGACGCCGCGUGAGCGAUGAAGGCCUUCGGGUCGUAAAGCUCUGUCCUUGGGGAAGAAGGUCUUCGGACUUGACGGUACCCAAGAAGAACGCCCCGGCUAACUACGUGCACGCAGCCGCGGUAAGACGUAGGGGGCGAGCGUUGUCGGGAAUUACUGGGCGUAAAGGGUGCGUAGGAUGCCAUUUAAGUCAGAUGUGAAAGGACAUGGGUUAACCGAGGGAUUGAAUUUGAAACUGGAGGGCUUGAGGGUCGGAGAAGGUAGUGGAAUUCCCAGUGUAGCGGUGAAAUGCGUAGAUAUUGGGAGGAACACAAGUGGCGAAGGCGACUACAUGGACGAUAACUGACGCUGAGGCACGAAAGCUAGGGGAGCAAAC